AACAUUCUCUUCUGAUCCUUUCCCUCAUCACUGAAUGCCUGAUUCUGUUCCCUUCAAGUACCCCUAGGUAUUUGUUAUUCUCCGCUGGUUCUAACUCUUUCAUGACAUUCUGCUGGUCAAGGUUAACGUUAGAUGUUUCUGAUCGGAAGAGG